AACCCUUCCUUCCAAGGUUUACAUCCUUCCUCCCAAGGUUUACAUAAAUUUAAUAGUUUCUUUAUUCUAGAACCAGAUUGAAAAGAUAGAAGAAGAAGAACCAGAAGAAUAUGAGGAACCUAUGAGAGCGGAAAAUUCAGCGCAAAAAAAGUCCUCAAAACAGCACUAAUAUAUGUAUGUGGUUUUAUUGCCAAAAAACUCCAUACAUAUAUAUAUAUGAUUGGAUAGACUUAAAAUCCAGAGGAUCCUUGUUUAUUCAUUCAAAUAUCUAUUGGAGGAAGUUUAAAAAUAUGAGAAAAUAUCUCAAAAAAUAAAUGGAGAGUCUCUGGAUAAAGGACAUGAUCCUAUCGAAAAAAUAAUUUCAACUAUUACUGCAAUAAACCAAAGAUGGCCUCGGGAGGUUGUAAAACUUUUGUAUAUGUAAGAAGUAUCAGUAAACUGAAAAAAAUUUAAUGUAAACUUGAAGGAAAAUAGUAAAAAAAUGUCAGAACACUGAAACAAACUGCUCAGUUUAUGUUUUGGAAUUAUGGUGUGAUAAAAUUAUAAAGCUUGACGAUCUGCUUUUAAAAAAUAGAAUGUAUAAAAUGUCAAUAAAUAAAUGUAUUGAAAUAUGGA